AACACAGAAACCAUUCACAUAAGAACUAAUAAAAUAAAAAAAAAUUGAUGACUGGAGUCAAAAUUUAAACUAAGAUCUAAAGCUCGGUCUAAUAAGUUGUUGCCGAUGAGAUAGCUAAGAUGGCCCGUAAACUCUGCCUCUUUCUCUGAGGGCUAAACUGGUUUCCAUCUAUCUAUAUGAUCUCUGUUUUUUUAAAGAUAAGAUCGGCCGCUCAUCCAUUCUACCUCCUGAUAUGGUUUGGAUCUUGAUUACGAAUCAUGACUUUCGAUAGUCCGCAAUCCGCAACUUUGGCUACUGAGUUCUCGCCUAGUAAUAUUGCCACUGUGGAGAUAAUGUAACCUCUGGCUGAUCCAAUGCAUAUCUGUAGUAUUUGUUUCCAUGACAAAGCAUGCAGAUUCGAGCUAGGAUUAACAUGUAAAUUUACUUAUCAUACAUCAUAAAAGGUAAUUCAUUCACUAA